rnacentral:lncRNA from 1 species
GGUCGCCUCAAUUAAUCAAGCCACAUAUGCCUGCUCUUGUACACCACACAAAAAUGUACCGACAUUGUAGCAACCAGGCUUCCUAACUGCAAGCAACCGAAAGCCACUGUGGCGGUUUUGAGCAGAAAGGAAAUUUAUCAAAAAGCUCUCAUUUAAUUUAUGGAAUCACAGGAAAUUCUCCUCUCCCUAAAAGGCAGGGUGAACCUUAUUAAAAUUAGUUGAGAAGCACACUUAGCACGGUGCUUUGCAGUAAGUGCUCAAUAAAUGUUCUAAUAAUCAUACAAGCACAUCUUACCAUGUGACACCUUUACCCGAAACCCUUUUAUAGCUCCAGUUGUCCACCAGAGCAAUCGUGGCCUCUGGGCUCUAAACUCCGUGGGUGGGGUGGGUAGAGGCUCUGAAUCUGAACAGCAUCCACGGGCCCACAGGGUUGGCUGCAGCCCAGCGCACUCCGCCCCUUUGGGCCCUAGGAACUUGAAACCGCUGCUCUGAUUGGCUGGCUCCCAGGACCUUGGUUGGGUCCUGUUCUCUGGUAGGCAGGAGGUGAAAGGUACCCUUCCUCCCUGUUCUUCUCUGUGUACCACCUGCCCAGUCACCUGAGCCCAGCUUGCUCUCUCUUUCCCUCUCUCCCUCCACCCAGGUCCGCCCUUGCUGGGGUUUCUUGGGGUG